AAAUAUGUUGUUUUUGUUUAGUUAAAGACCUUGUUGAAAAGCUAUUUACUUUCGAGAAAGGUAACUUAAGCACAUUAUCUAUAUUUUGGAUGCGACGGAUUAGUUUAUUAUCUGAUUUGAUCGGAGAGUUGAUUUAUAUACUGUGACAGAUUCACACACUCAAAGCCAAGUAAACGAAUUACCGAAGCUCAUGGCUCUGUCGAAUACAUGCACAUGUAUAUGUAUUUAUGUUUGAGAGUUCGUUUUCACCGUAUAAAGAGAUAGUUUUGGAUAUUAAUAUCCCGAAUUUUUGUAUAACUGAUAGUAAAAGAUUCUUCACACUUGGAUUAAGUAUGUGCAGAUGCGUACGUGAUCACCCCAGCUCCCAGACAAAAACACACUUGCUAGUCAAUUGACUGACUUUACCAUAUGACAUAGGAUCUUGACAGUAUAAGAGUAUAAUGCUUAUACAUAUAUGUAUAUACAUAGAUACAGGUACAAGGUUAUUUGAAAUUACUUACACGAUAUAUAAAUUUUAUUUUUUAAUUAAAUAAUUUCUAUUUCUUUUUAUAAUCGAGAAUAGUACUAAUGAAAUAGACAUUUAUUUAUUCAAUGAUAUUAUAAAAUGCUAAAAAGAUAUCUUUUGAUUGAAACGAGUAACUAAUGUAAAUGUAUUCGGAAGCUGAAACAGUUUCGAGUUUUAUUUUCAAAACAUUCUAUUUCCAACUUUAUUUUCAUGUAUAAAAAGAAUAAUAAAACAGAACACAGUGUGAACUAUCAACUUGUUAACAACAAAAAUGUAAAUAGGGAUAUUAAUCGCUGUGUAAAAAUACUUAUAAAUGAAUUAUAAGGAACAACAUGUUUUAUUUUAAAUAACUGUUAUAUUUUGCGUAUAAUAUUUUUACAUAUAUUACUUUAUAAAUAUGUAUAUAU
rnacentral:misc_RNA from 1 species